GCAGCUAUAUUGGCAACCGCACAACAGGGCUGUGGCACGGCCGGAUAUAGAACAUGGGAUGGAGAGCAGAUGGUGGUCUCUGGCUCCUCGUGCGCGGCGGUGGGCUCUUCCUCAGUAAAGGAACAGGGAUAGUUGAGGACUUCGAGGAAGCGUUGGUGCAAAGCCGGGGGUUUGGGAUUCUGGACGUGGGCUACCGCUCAAAGGAUGAGGCAUGGGCUGCCGGUGGUAGCGGUGUCCUGCUGAAAA